CUCUUAUCUACUGUAGUCUAUUGUGCUAACCUUCAUGAAGUCUCAAAAACAAGCCAUUCUUGAGUACACAUUGAUCUUCGACAUUUGUAAGUCCUUGUCUUGUCUAGGCAGGGUCCUAUCUUGGAAAGGGUCAUCAUGGCAGAGGUAGAGAAGUUGUGUGAGUGACAGCUCUCUCUGUGUCGAUGUGACAUAUCUUCCCUUUUCAUGUGAAAUGGGACAUCUAAGAAUUAAUACCUGAGCAAGGCUGACCGAAAGCUCCAAGGAGAUAAGUCAGAUGGCAAGUCAAUACAAACAGCAUCAGCAUCAUUGACCCUCACAGGGGAGAACGUGAUGAAGGACAGAGGGGACCUGUGGGACAGAGGGCUCUGCACAGGAGGAGGAAGAUCCUAGAGUAAAUGGAGGCUUGAAUCUCUCGGGAUGAGCGGGAUCCACAGACUCCAGAAAGUGGUAUGUGCCUGGGAUGUUCUGCACGGGUAACUCAGUUUUACAAGCGCAUACAAUUAGCACGGCUUUGGAUCCCAUCAGCAGGCGGAUUGCUCAUUUAGAGUCUCCGAGGAGUGGCCUCACUUCCUAUUAUUAUGUCCACUCUGGUGUUUAUCAGAUCUUGAAAUAUAUCUCAUUACUCUCUAAUCCUUCCUCCUAGUGUCCCUCUCUAACAUUUUCUGUGUCAGGGCCAUGCUGUCUUAAAUAUCCUAGCACCUAGUGGGCCACAUGCCUAUGUCCUCUCUUCAAAACCAAUAUUCAAAUCACAAAAUAUGUCCUUAAAUUGCCUUUGAAAGCGGCUGUGAUUUCUGCUGAUUUGCUGAUCCUGUUGUCUUCCACCCACAGGUGCAAUGCAAGGACUGCAGAGCCUUUGGGCACACCACAGGAAGCCUGAGCUGCCCCAUGAAGUGCUAAGAUGGGGCUCUGUGUCCUUAGCCCUUGGGCCAAAUAAAGAGAGGAACUUGGAACCAAAGAGCCCUGGAAGCUCUGGAACUCAGGAUCCUCUAACAAGACUGAAAGAGAGAAGAAACAAAGAUGAAAGAAAGUGUGGAAGGUUGUAACCAAUCCUAGGUCAUUGUACCCUAAAGAUACUUUAUUUAUGCACCUCUCCACCAUGUGUACA
rnacentral:lncRNA from 1 species